rnacentral:misc_RNA from 1 species
AGAAAAGUGCUGCUGCUCCUUUACUGAAAGAAGGUUCCCUCUCUGUGCAUGUUGGCGAUGGCAGGCAGGGUUGGGCUGAGUGUGCGCCGUACGAUGCCAUCCAUGUUGGAGCAGCUGCUGUUGAAAUUCCGCCGGCUCUCAUUGACCAGUUAAAGCCAGGCGGGAGAAUGGUGAUUCCUGUUGGGAACAUAUUCCAGGAUUUAAAGGUUGUGGACAAAGAUAGUGAUGGCUCUGUUAGCAUCCACGAUGAGACUUCUGUUCGUUACGUGCCUCUUACUAGUCGAGAAGCUCAGUUACGUGAUAAUUGAUCGGCUUUGGGGCAUCACUUUUAGAUGCUCUGCUUCUAUUAUCAAGAAUGUUGUAUAGAAACUUUUAGACACUGUUUGUGCAUCAACAUCAGCCUUGUAAAUUCUUCCUUGACGUGGA